AUACCAAAUUUGAUUAAAUACAGGAAGAAUUAUAUUGCGAAAUAGACGUUUCUUAAGGCUGGAGAAAGGGGAAGAAAUGGAAUAUCUGGAAGACAAUGGAAAUACACAUGAACUCAGAGUCAGAAGGUUGAAAAGAAUUCGAUUGGAAGACACACGCAUCGUUUUGGAGGAGCAGGGGCCCCUAAUGUCCCUUGUACUUACGCUGAGGCCCACACUGCUAUUGUUAUAUUUCUGACUUGGGAAACGAAAUAUCUUCACACAAUAUGCUUGAUUUAAUUACAUGAAAUUUAAUAAGACUAUAAUUUUGGACCACCUUGUACAGUUUACCUACAUUUUUCUUACUUUCGUACCUUGUUAGAAUGCAAAAACCUCGACUGAAGCACUUCAAAAAAUUUGUAAAGGAUUAUUGUGUGCUAUUACAUGUAUAUAUUCUUAAAAGAUAAAAAGAAAUCGAAAAUUAACAUAGAAAGCCUAAUUAUUUGAUUGAUGUUUGAGAGAUCAUCAAUUAUAUUCGGAGUUCUAUACUACUAAUACUAAUUCCUAACAAAUUAUUAGUUUCACCUCUUCGUCAUUCAUGAGCACUAGAGGCGUCUGCAGAAUUAUAUUUGGUUGUGUUUGUGGGGG
rnacentral:lncRNA from 1 species